AUGGUGAAAUUCUUGAACCCGAUUCUGCUCCAAGGUCGCUACGCCGGCCGCAAGGGCGUCAUCGUCAAGUCAAGGCCUUUGAUGACCGCGCCUACGGCCACUGCCUGGUCGCCGGCAUCAAGAAGUACCCCAGCAAGGUGAUCCGAAAGGACUCGGCGAAGAAGACGGCGAAGAAGUCGACGGUGAAGCUUGUGGAUCUGAAAAAGGUCGUCACCCCUGACGUGCUCACCAGCAAGGACAAGAAGGUCACCGCCUUGAAGGAGACUAAGAAGAGGUUCGGGGAAAGGUUCAAGAUGGGGAAGAACAGGUGGUUCUUCACCAAGCUCAGGUUCUGAGCCCUGCAAGCAAAAACGGCGUCAUCUCUGGAAAAUGUAGAACCUAAUGAUGAUGGACUAGAUGAACUGUUUGUGUAUGGGAACCAAGUUCCUGAUAUGGGAGAGAGUCAAAUGACAUCUGUUGUUAUGAGAAGGAGCAGUUACUAAAAAGAGAAAGAUAAACGAUGGAGAUGCUUCAUCUUCUAAGGAAAAGGGUACCAAACCGCCUCCAAAGACAAAAAAUGAACUCAGAGCUAAGGCAGCAAAAAUAAGGGAAGAUGCAAAGAAUAAGAGGGAAGAAAAGAAGGCUGCAGCAAGAGAAGCAUGCAAAGUUGCUCCAACUAGGGGAGGGCCACCAAACGUAGCUGCAAACAAUGGAGGAGCAGCUUCAAGCAAGGGAAAAGCUUCUUCUGCACCACAAGCUUCUCAAUCUUCCCAAGCUUCAACAAGGUCAUCUGUGAGGAACAAGGGAAGUGCAAGGAAUACUAGAAAAUAGUGAUCAGGCAAGAUUAUGAUUUAUAGAGGCAUUGUGCAUGUUUUUGUGCAACCAUGUUAUGUGUCUCAUGGUUGCUUGUUCUAAUCUUUUGCAUAGAUGAUUAGAGCUAUGAACUUGUGCAAACUUAUGCAUCUAUUUGGUUUUUGUUAGAAUGGAUGUAAACAUUGACUUAUGCAUCUAUUUGGUUGUUAUGUAGUAGCUUUUAUUGACAAGUUUGUUUUGUUUUGGAUU